GACGUAGGGCGCGAGCGUUGUCCGGAAUUAUUGGGCGUAAAGAGCUCGUAGGCGGUUUGUCGCGUCUGCUGUGAAAACUGGAGGCUCAACCUCCAGCCUGCAGUGGGUACGGGCAAACUAGAGUGCGGUAGGGGAGAUUGGAAUUCCUGGUGUAGCGGUGGAAUGCGCAGAUAUCAGGAGGAACACCGAUGGCGAAGGCAGAUCUCUGGGCCGUAACUGACGCUGAGGAGCGAAAGCGUGGGGAGCGAACAGG
rnacentral:rRNA from 1 species